UUACACGACGACCGGUGCUAUGUGAUACGUUCUCUACGAGUCGAGUUGUUUGGGAAUGCAGCUCAAAACGGGUGGUAAACUCCAUCUAAAGCUAAAUAUUGGUGGGAGACCGAUAGCGAACAAGUACCGUGAGGGAAAGAUGAAAAGCACUUUGGAAAGAGAGUUAAACAGUAUGUGAAAUUGUUGAAAGGGAAACGAUUGAAGUCAGUCGUGUCCAUUGGGUUCAGCCGGUCCUGCCGGUCUACUCCCUUUGGACGGGUCAACAUCAGUUCUGACCGGCGGAUAAUGGCACGAGGAACGUGGCACCCUCCGGGGUGUGUUAUAGCCUCGCGUCGCAUACGCUGGUCGGGACUGAGGAACGCAGCUCGCCUUCAUGGCCGGGGUACGCCCACGUACGAGCUUAGGAUG
rnacentral:rRNA from 1 species